AACGAACGCUGGCGGCAGGCUUAACACAUGCAAGUCGAGCGCCCCGCAAGGGGAGCGGCAGACGGGUGAGUAACGCGUGGGAACAUACCCUUUGGUUCGGAAUAACUCAGGGAAACUUGAGCUAAUACCGGAUACGUCCGUAAGGAGAAAGAUUUAUCGCCAAAGGAUUGGCCCGCGUCCGAUUAGCUAGUUGGUGAGGUAACGGCUCACCAAGGCUACGAUCGGUAGCUGGUCUGAGAGGAUGAUCAGCCACAUUGGGACUGAGACACGGCCCAAACUCCUACGGGAGGCAGCAGUGGGAAUAUUGGACAAUGGGCGCAAGCCUGAUCCAGCCAUGCCGCGUGAGUGAUGAAGGCCUUAGGGUUGUAAAGCUCUUUGUCCGGGAAGAUAAUGACUGUACCGGAAGAAUAAGCCCCGGCUAACUUCGUGCCAGCAGCCGCGGUAAU
rnacentral:rRNA from 1 species